rnacentral:rRNA from 1 species
CCUACGGGUGGCAGCAGUGGGGGAUAUUGCACAAUGGGGGAAACCCUGAUGCAGCGACGCCGCGUGGGUGAAGGAGCGUUUAGGCGCGUAAAGCUCUAUCGGCAGGGAAGAAGGAGGACGGUACCUGACUAAGAAGCCCCGGCUAACUACGUGCGAGCAGCCGCGCGAAUACGCCGGGGGCAAGCGUUAUCCGGAUUUACUGGGUGUAAAGGGGGCGCAGACGGCUGCGCAAGCCAGGAGUGAAAGCCCGGGGCCCAACCCGGGGAGUGCUCUUGGAACUGCGCGGCUGGAGUGCAGGAGGGGCAGGCGGAAUUCCUGGUGGAGCGGUGAAAUGCGUAGAUAUCAGGAGGAACACCGGUGGCGAAGGCGGCCUGCUGGACUGCGACUGACGUUGAGGCCCGAAAGCGUGGGGAGCAAACAGGAUUAGAUACCCGGGUAGUC